rnacentral:rRNA from 1 species
UUUUGACCUCGGAUCAGGUAGGGAUACCCGCUGAACUUAAGCAUAUCAAUAAGCGGAGGAAA